AAAAAACUGUUUAUAGAGAACAAAUAAUUGUCUCGCUCUCUCACCUUCAACCUUAAAUCCCCUUUCUCCAUCUCCAAGUAGACGGCAAACUAAAAUCCCAAAUUUAUCGAUAGCAAGCCCAUACUUUAAAGCUUCUCUUCUCCUCGCUAUCUUCUCCAAGCUGUUCUUCCCGAAGCUUUUGUUCUGAUUUCUCCAAGCUUCAUGACCAUGGAAUUCAACCUGCAAAACCAAAUCAAGACCUGAAAACCUUAGAUCUACAUAUCUCUUCUUGUCGUCGUGUUCCUUAGUAAGUCUUCCUCGUUCUUCUUCUGUUUUAUAUAUUUAGGUUUACAUCAUCAAAUUGUUUAGUUUCACACUUCACCGUGAGCGGCGAGAGAGAACGCUGGUAAAAAAACUUCAUAUCGGAAAAUUAGACAAACCCUAAAUCGACGAAAACGAGGGAUCUUUGGAAUAGAAGCCUAAUUUGUUCAUAUGAUGAAGAAUCGAUGGUCUAAUUUUCACCAGAUUGGGUACUCGUUGUCUUUGCAAAUAGGAAGAAACUCUUUCUUAGCUGCUUCCACUGUUUACAUUUCAACCGAAUUCAGCUUCUUAAAUACUUCUCUUUCCAAUCAAAGAAGCUUCUGUUUUGCAGCAGGAGAUCGAUCAGCUUUGUAGUGUUGAAGUCGGAGGCCGAGUUCAACAGUGCACUGAGCAAAGCUAGAGAUGGAUCUUUGCCAUCAGUUUUAUAUUUUACUGAUGCUUGGUGUGGACCUUGUAAGUGUUAUUUCCUUGAGAGUGGCUUUAUUAAUUUGUGUAGUAGUGAUUGACUUUAGGAAGACUUAAUCUCUCUUGUGAUAUUGGAGCUCAGUAAUAAAUAUGCUGAUGUGACAACGUAUUUGACAUUGAGGAGGUAUGUUUGCAUUUAGAUAAGGUCGACUUGUAGUGAAUUUAAUAUUGAAAGGUAUAGUAUUUUUUAAAGAAUCUCCACUAAUGUGGUAAUCCUUGCCUUUUUUUAAUUCUGUCUCAGGUGCAAAGUAUAAUCUUCACUGAGAAGUCAUGUGGUUCUUUGUUGAGACUAGACUGCAAGAAGAAGAUUAGACAAGAGUAUGAGAAGAAGAGGAGAAGCAGAUCGAUCUUAGAAGGAAGAUGCGAGCUCAUUUUACUUGUGGCACUUGUUGUCUUAAUGUUAGUUAAGACUUGUAGUAUAUGUUAAGGAUUGAGGUUUAUAUAUAAUAUAUAUACUAAAUUUUGUGCAAAAA